GCCGCAGGUUUGGGUCUCACGCAGUGAGACAACGGAGCCGCUUGCGGCGACGGCCCGAAGGGCGAGCGAAGCGAGUUAUCCUGCACGACCCACCA
rnacentral:sRNA from 1 species